rnacentral:rRNA from 1 species
CUUUCUAUUAGCUUUCAGUGAGACUACACAUGCAAGUAUCCACACCCCUGUGAGAAUGCCCUCUACCAAAACACNNNNGAGGAGCGAGUAUCAAGCACGCAUUAUGCAGCUCAAAACACUUUGCUUUAGCCACGCCCCCACGGGAGACAGCAGUGACAAACCUUUAGCAAUGAACGAAANGUUUAACUAAGCCACACUGACAACCAGAGUCGGUCAAUUUCGUGCCAGCCACCGCGGCCAUACGAUUGACUCAAGUUAAUAGAAUCCGGCGUAAAGGGUGUUUAAGACUUAAACCCAUACACAAUAAAGCUGACCUGUAACUAAGUCGUAAAAAACCCCAGUUACAGUGAAAUGCACUACGAAAGUGGCUUUAGUACUCUGAAUACACUAUAGCUAAGGUACAAACUGGGAUUAGAUACCCCACUAUGCUUAGCCCUAAACCUCAAUAACUCAGCUAACAAACUUAUUCGCCAGAAUAUUACAAGCAACAGCUUGAAACUCAAAGGACCUGGCGGUGCUUUACAUCCGUCUAGAGGAGCCUGUUCUAUAAUCGAUACACCCCGAUAAACCUCACCACCUCUUGCCAUCAGCCUGUAUACCGCCAUCUUCAGCAAACUCCCUAAUGAUCGAAAAGUAAGCGGAAGUAUCAUCAUAAAAACGUUAGGUCAAGGUGCAGCCAAUGACGUGGGAAGAAAUGGGCUACAUUCUCUAAAUCAGAGAACCAUACGACANACCCUUAUGAAAUC